rnacentral:tRNA from 1 species
GGGGUUGUAGCUCAGUGGUAGAGUGCUCGCCUAGCAUGUGAGAGGCCCUGAGUUUGAUCCUCAGCACCACA